GGAGAGGUUACAGCGAAAUUGGUAACGCCACGGUCUUGAAAACCGUUGUCUUAGGGCAUGUGAGUUCGACUCUCACCCUCUCCGCCA
rnacentral:tRNA from 1 species